AGACCCAACCCAACCCAACAUAACACCAUAUACGCACAUAACAAAACGAACAGAUCUCUAAGGUCUCAUUUAUUUGAAAGGCAGGGUUUUUCGGUGAAACCCUAGCCGCCACCACGAUACUCACUCUCUCUCAUCGUUAUCGGCCAGGAGAUGGCAUGAGUGCAGUGUAGUCUUUCUUUACGUAGGUCAUCCAUGGCCAUUUUGGGAAAAUCAAUAAAUGCAUUGCCCUCUUUCCACCGCAAUUCAACCAAACGAGGAUUGUGGAAUGGAUGGAAUAGUGGUUUAACUUUGAAAGAAAAGAAGAUCCCUGUGGUGGUGCAUACCCUCUGUCAAAAUGAGUGUUUUGUUUAGUCUUCUUGAAGCAUUGACUGCUUAGAAUCAAGAUUCUCUUUGUUAGAAUGCUUUACGUAAAGCUGAACUUUGAAUGAUUGUCAAUAAAUAUCCCCUGCUUCCUUUGACGCUCGUAUACUGGUUAGAUGGACAUAGUUUAUCGAAGUUUUAUGCUAUUUUCCCUCUUUUAAUGGAUAAAAAGAUGAAGUUUGACAUGUGUUCAUGUUUUUAUACAUAUAAGUGUUAUGACAGUCUUGGAGGGGUAAAAUAUAUUGGGUACACUGAUACAUAUUCUUUAUAUGGAUGCAUACACGUGUUAAAAUUGAUUUGAGAUGAAUGCUGCUUUUGUUUGCUCGAGAUUAUCUUCUCUUCUCUUUUUCCCUUUUGUGUGAUGUACUGUGAUGAGAGAUAUACAUCAGGUAUACUAGAUAUACACCAGGUAUACUAGAUAUGCAUCCCCCUUAUAUACCCAGUAUAUAUUGAGUUAUAUAUCAUGUAUGCCCAUGGUAUAUCAUGAUAUUUAUUGCGAACUGAACUGUUAUCCACUAAAUUGAGCCCAUCUCCUUAAUGCCACUAUUCUAAUAAUUGAUUUGGCCCUUGCCUUGCCUAUUCACAUGUAUUGUUUUCAUUUGGGCCUUUCUGAAUUUUCCUUUGCUGCGUCAUAUUAAUAUGUUGGGCCUGUAUCCCCUGCCAAUCAUGUCUUGGGCUUUCAUUGUGCUGUUUCUGUUUAGUGAAGUAUAUGAGAUUGUGCCUCGGUAUAUAUAGGGUCGUAUACAUAUCUGCUUAGACUACAUUUAAGAAUUAAUUUUUGUUUAAAUAGUUUGCUAAGUGUAGAUACUCUCUAACAAUCUUUCCCCUUUUCCCUUCUCCUUCUUCGCAUGAUACUCCGCGAUACGGUUCAUUUGGGUCGAAGCCACUGUUGGGCCAGAAGCCCAACACUCUCCUUCCAUCGAGUCCGAAAAAAUUGAAGGCCCAAUUAUGGGUGAAAAUGGCAACUGGUGGGCUCGGUAGGCCCACCAACUUAACUUUUCUCUUUUAUUUUCAUAUUUGUGUACAUGUAUAUAUACAGAAUGCUUGUAUAAAUAUUGAACCAAUAGUUAGAACUUAGUUGAAAUGAUUUUCAAAGA